rnacentral:rRNA from 1 species
UAGGGAAUCUUCGGCAAUGGACGGAAGUCUGACCGAGCAACGCCGCGUGAGUGAAGAAGGUUUUCGGAUCGUAAAGCUCUGUUGUAAGAGAAGAACGAGCGUGAGAGUGGAAGGUUCACACUGUGACGGUAUCUUACCAGAAAGGGACGGCUAACUACGUGCCAGCAGCCGCGGUAAUACGUAGGUCCCGAGCGUUGUCCGGAUUUAUUGGGCGUAAAGCGAGCGCAGGCGGUUAGAUAAGUCUGAAGUUAAAGGCUGUGGCUUAACCAUAGUAGGCUUUGGAAACUGUUUAACUUGAGUGCAAGAGGGGAGAGUGGAAUUCCAUGUGUAGCGGUGAAAUGCGUAGAUAUAUGGAGGAACACCGGUGGCGAAAGCGGCUCUCUGGCUUGUAACUGACGCUGAGGCUCGAAAGCGUGGGGAGCAAACAGGAUUAGAUACCCUGGUAGUCCACGCUGUAAACGAUGAGUGCUAGGUGUUAGACCCUUUCCGGGGUUUAGUGCCGUAGCUAACGCAUUAAGCACUCCGCCUGGGGAGUACGACCGCAAGGUUG